rnacentral:piRNA from 1 species
UGCAGAUGGAAGAUGAUACGGAUCUU